rnacentral:rRNA from 1 species
UACGGAGGAUCCGAGCGUUAUCCGGAUUUAUUGGGUUUAAAGGGAGCGUAGGCGGACGCUUAAGUCAGUUGUGAAAGUUUGCGGCUCAACCGUAAAAUUGCAGUUGAUACUGGGUGUCUUGAGUACAGUAGAGGCAGGCGGAAUUCGUGGUGUAGCGGUGAAAUGCUUAGAUAUCACGAAGAACUCCGAUUGCGAAGGCAGCUUGCUGGACUGUAACUGACGCUGAUGCUCGAAAGUGUGGGUAUCAAGC